UCACUCUGGUCGCACCGCGGCGGGAACACAGAGGAGAUCCGCCGUGUGACCACCGGGAUGCGGUCGGACUCAUGAGCACGUCUCCUUCCCGGAUACCAGGAACUGAAGGCUGUCUGCCUUGCCUUCCCACGCCCACGUUAGGAACAAACAAGCUGCGUGGUAGAGGAUUUUGAGGCCCAGUUUUUUUUUAAAACUACACUGAGAAGAAGCGGCUGUCAGUGGCGGCUCUACUAACCAGCCGCGGCCGCUUGACAGGUGCCGUCGCCCGGCAUAGUGUGUGGAGAUGCCGCCCGUCCAGAGAACCAUGUCGGAUCUUCGAACUCGUGCAGACGGUUAUGAAAAGACGGAGGACACGUCAGAAAAGACAUCUCUAGCAGACCAGGAAGAUGCCCGACUGAUAUACCUUAACCAGCCGCAGUUUACAAAGUUUUGCAGCAAUCGGGUCAGUACGGCCAAGUACAACGUCAUCACCUUCCUUCCAAGAUUCCUCUACUCACAAUUCAGGAGGGCGGCCAACGCCUUUUUCCUUUUCAUUGCACUUUUGCAGCAAAUCCCAGACGUGUCUCCCACUGGUCGCUGGACAACGCUGGUCCCGCUGCUUUUUAUUCUCGUGGUAGCUGCUGUCAAGGAGGUCAUUGAAGAUCUGAAACGCCACAAUGCAGACAGCGUUGUCAACAAAAAAGAAUGUCAAGUACUGAGAAACGGUGCCUGGGAGAUUGUGCAUUGGGAGAAGGUGACUGUUGGGGAAGUAGUCCGAGCCGCCAACGGGGAUCAUCUCCCGGCUGACCUCGUCAUACUGUCGUCCAGUGAACCACAGGGAAUGUGCUACAUCGAAACAUCCAACCUGGAUGGUGAAACAAACCUAAAAAUCCGCCAGGGACUCCAAGUGACGUCCGACUUUAAGGACAUCGACAGCCUGAUGCGUCUCUCGGGGCGGAUGGAGUGUGAAUGUCCGAACCGCCAUCUGUACGAGUUUGUGGGAAACAUCCGACUUGAUGGACACAGCACAGUACCGCUGGGACCGGACCAGAUCUUACUGAGAGGAGCCCAGCUGAGGAACACACAGUGGGUCCACGGUGUGGUGGUUUACACAGGACAUGACACGAAGCUCAUGCAGAACUCCACUCGACCGCCGCUCAAAUUGUCCAACGUGGAGCGCAUCACCAACUUUCAGAUUCUGGUCCUGUUUGGCUGCUUGCUGGCCAUCUCUCUGGUCUGCUCCGUGGGCCAAACCAUCUGGAAGUACCGGUGCGGCAAUGACGCCUGGUACAUGGACCUCAACUAUGGCGGAGCGGCUAACUUUGGCCUCAACUUCCUCACCUUUAUCAUCCUCUUCAACAACUUGAUCCCCAUCAGUCUGCUGGUCACUCUGGAGGUCAUCAAGUUCAUCCAGGCCUUCUUCAUCAACUGGGACACUGAUAUGAUCUACGAGCCGACAAACACCCCUGCCAUGGCUCGUACAUCCAACCUGAAUGAAGAGUUAGGCCAGGUGAAGUACAUUUUCUCUGACAAGACGGGCACGCUGACCUGCAAUGUCAUGCAGUUCAAGAAGUGCACCAUCGCUGGCGUGGCCUACGGUCACGUGCCAGAGACUGAGGAUGCUAGUUUUGCUGAGGAUGACGGGCACAGCACACACUCGUCAGAGGAGUCUGGAUUUGUUGACCCAAGCCUGCUGGAAAACCUCCAAAGUAAUCACCCGACAGCUGCUGUCAUCCUGGAGUUCAUGACCAUGAUGGCCAUCUGCCACACCGCCGUCCCCGAGCGCAAUGAUGGAAAAAUCACCUACCAAGCGGCAUCUCCAGAUGAAGGUGCUUUGGUGAGAGCUGCACGGAACCUGGGUUUUGUGUUUUCGGGUAGAACCCCAGACAGCGUCAUUGUGGAAAUGCUGGGGAACGAGGAGAAGUAUGAGCUGCUUCACGUGCUGGAGUUUACAAGUGCCAGGAAGAGAAUGUCAGUCAUCAUGCGGACACCAUCCGGAAAGAUCCGCCUCUACUGCAAAGGAGCCGACACAGUGAUUUACGACAGACUGGCGGACAGUUCUCGGUACAAAGAGAUCACGCUGAAGCAUCUGGAGCAGUUUGCCACUGAGGGGCUACGCACACUUUGCUUUGCCGUGGCGGACAUCAGCGAGUCGUCCUAUCAGCAGUGGCAGGAGCUACACCACCGAGCUAGCACCUCCCUGCAGAACCGAGCCCUCAAGCUGGAGGAGAGCUACGAGCUAAUCGAGAAGAAUCUGCAGUUGUUGGGGGCCACCGCCAUCGAGGACAAGCUCCAAGAUAAGGUGCCCGAAACCAUAGAGACUCUGAUGAAGGCUGACAUCAAGAUCUGGAUCCUGACCGGGGACAAGCAGGAGACGGCCAUCAACAUCGGACAUUCCUGCAAACUGCUGACCAAAAAUAUGGGCAUGCUGGUGAUAAACGAGGACACACUUGAUAGAACAAGGGAGACCCUCAGCCACCACUGCGGAUUGCUGGGAGACGCUCUCCACAAGGAGAAUGACUUUGCGCUCAUCAUCGACGGCAAGACGCUCAAAUACGCCCUCACCUUUGGAGUGCGACAGUACUUCCUGGACCUCGCCCUCUCCUGCAAGGCUGUCAUAUGUUGCAGAGUGUCUCCUCUCCAGAAGUCAGAGGUGGUGGAGAUGGUGAAGAAGCAAGUGAAGGUGAUCACGUUGGCCAUCGGCGACGGCGCCAACGACGUGGGGAUGAUUCAAACGGCUCACGUGGGCGUCGGCAUAUCUGGCAACGAGGGCCUGCAGGCCGCCAACUCCUCCGACUACUCCAUUGCUCAGUUCAAAUACUUGAAGAAUCUGCUGCUCGUCCACGGAGCUUGGAAUUACAACCGUGUAGCUAAAUGUAUCCUGUACUGCUUCUACAAAAACAUCGUCCUUUACAUCAUUGAGAUCUGGUUUGCGUUUGUGAACGGCUUUUCAGGUCAAAUUCUGUUUGAGCGCUGGUGCAUCGGCCUGUACAACGUGAUCUUCACUGCCCUGCCUCCUCUCACUCUGGGAAUAUUUGAGCGAUCCUGUCGGAAAGAAAAUAUGCUGAAGUACCCCGAGCUCUACAAAACCUCCCAGAAUGCAAUGGGCUUCAACACCAAGGUUUUUUGGGCUCAUUGUCUGAACGGCCUCUUCCACUCAGUCAUCCUCUUCUGGUUCCCUCUUCAAGCCUUCCAGCACGAUACAGUGUUUGGCAAUGGAAGAACUCCGGACUAUCUCCUCUUAGGAAACAUGGUUUACACAUUUGUGGUCAUCACAGUUUGCCUUAAAGCCGGGCUGGAAACGUCAUCUUGGACUAUGUUCAGUCACAUCGCCAUCUGGGGCAGCAUUGGGCUGUGGGUGGUGUUCUUCAUCAUCUACUCCUCCUUGUGGCCCCUCAUCCCCCUGGCCCCCGACAUGUCAGGCGAGGCGGAGAUGAUGUUCUCGUCGGGGGUCUUCUGGAUGGGCCUGGUCUUCAUCCCUAUCACCUCGCUGGUCUUUGACGUGGCCUACAAAGUGGUGAAGAGAGUGUGUUUUAAGACGCUGGUGGACGAGGUGCAGGAGCUGGAGGCGUUAUCCAAAGAUCCUGGAGCGGUAGUGCAAGGGAAAAGUUUGACGGAGAGGGCCCAGCUCCUGAAGAACGUCUUCAAGAAGAGCACUGUGAGUCUGUACCGUUCCGAGUCCAUGCAGCAGAACCUGCUACGUGAGUUACACAACAUUGUCUUCUUUUUCUUGCACAAAGUUCACACUUUUGGAUGCGUAUGUAGCGCAGGGGUCAUUUUAGGGCAAUCUCACCAAAUCAUGCAGAAGAAUAGUUCUUGGGGGUCUGAACUGGUGUGAAUAGGACACAGAAACAGGUGCUUUUCAGUGAAAUCAGAUGCACAUUUUCACAAAAGAGGAUCACAUCAAUGUUGGUCAAGUAGCUGGUAUAAGUUUGAUGAGUCUUUGGUUAUGGUGGCUUUAGGCACGCCACUCUAGAGGAAUGGUCCUCCAUCCUUGAGUCCGCUAGCCACAGAGUCAAAAGGAAAGACAGUCCUACCCAUUCGCUGCCAGUUGGGAAGGCCUAAAGUUAUCUAAAAAAAAUGACCGCAAAGUUGUUUUCUUUAGGUUUGAUUUAAAAAAAAAAAAGGGUUGAGAGCCGCUUGUUGACUAGCCACAGCAGCACCUUGCUGGACCUGGCGAAUCAGGAGGGGAUCUCACCUCAGCUGAGUCAUGUGACUGCUCCUUAUUAGGGUCGUGGCAUGACAUGGGUUACACGUAUUCCGGUCCGGACCAGAAAAAUAUUUUUUAAAAAGAUACUUUGGUGCGGUUUGCGUGGCGCUCACUGAGUAUUGUUGUCAUGGGACCAAAGGCUGCACAGUCAAGACAAUAUGCAUCUAGUAAGGAUUUUAUGGGAUUGUAACAAAAAUAAAAUCGGCAUCCCUUAGCCUUAGCCCCUUUCACACAGGAUUUUCUAUGGUGAAGUGGAGGCGUGGCAAGGGUGUGACGUGGGAUGGAGUUCAGUUGGCAAACUUCAGGUGGAAUCUGUAGACCACAAAUUGCCUGAAAGUGUCAAUAUUUUUGUCCGUCCGUACAUCAGAAUUCCGCGCACGCUUUUACAGAUGAGCAACACACAAAACACCAUGGAGGGUACCAAGACCAAGUCCUGACUUAAAGGGUCAUAACAGGGGUAGGACUGCGCCUGUUUGAAAGCCGGCACAGGGGUCUGAAGCUCCGUAUCCCCACCAUCUUGAAUUUUUUCCGCCUGUGUGAAAGCACAUACAGUUACAACGACAUCCCACCUUCAUUGAGUGGGAUCAGCUUAUUGAUAGAUUCCGUUAACCCUUUGAUGCGGCCAUUUUGCCGAUUGCGCCAAAAAACGCUGGCACCGCCUUAAGCUGAUGAGUCAUCUUCAUAGCAAAUAAGAGUGGAUGAAUACGUCCAGCGUGAGGACGACCGCAUGUACAUCCAAAUCUUCUUUUUUUUUUCUUAUCGUCGCCCUUUUUGUUCAUCUCCUUUAACAUUUAAUUUGCUUUUUUUAAGACAUCAAAAGUAACCAGACCGGAUUAACUUUAGCUACACAGCAGAUUAACAAAAAAUAUUUUAUUUUAAUGUAUUAUUUCAUGAACCAAUACUUUAAUAUAAUAUUACAUUAUUAUGAGUAGGGAUGUCCGAUAAUUAUCAGUACCAAUAUCCUAUAUCAGCAUAAAAAUAUGAUAUCAGUUGAUAUUGGUAUUAUGGAUUUUUUUCCCCAUAUUGAAAACCGAUAUAAAAAAAUGCUUAUGUGUUCAUUCCACCACAGGAUAUAUGUCAUGUUACACAUAUCGGUAUUGGAAAUUGAUAGCUGGACAAUAUAGGUAUAUCCGUUUUCCACAAAAAAAACUAUAUCAGACAUCCCUAAUUAUAAGGUAGAUUUUUUGUUUUUUAAUACUGUUGAAACAUUGUAAACAAAGGUCCGUUCCACUUAGGCUAGCUAGCUUUUGAUUUUUGUAUUUGAUAAUAUCGCAAGUAGUCGAGUAAUUGCAACCCUUUUUUUAAAUAACGACUUGCUAAAGUGUAUAAUUAAGCUAGCUACUUUUUUAUGUCUUUGUUUAUGACAAAAUCCAAAAAACGCAGAUUUUUUUUUGCUAAACUAAAACUUGCUACUUAGAAUUUUUUAUUGAUUUGUUUAUUUUGACAAAAUCGAGUCACCUGCAAAUUGUGUUUUUUCGAGUUUAUGAAAACAUGUAAACAAAAAGCUUAAUUUAAAAAAAACAAACUACUUUGGCUAGCUAUAUUUUUUUUUUCUUAGUUGUUUUUUGGUUUUGAGAAAAUUGAGCAACUGGACAGAAUUUUUGAGUAACUAUGCAGUAAUCACAUCUUUAUUUCAAAAUAACAAAGACAUAUAAUUAAGCGAGAUACUUUUGAUUAUUUUAUGCUUGUUUUUGACAACAUUGAGUAAAUUUUUUUAGGUAAUUAAAAGUCGAAAAAAACCCCAAAAUAAAUAUAUUUAUUUAUUUAUUUGUAUUUGAAUGUAUGUAAAAAACAAAAUAAAUAUAUUUAUUUAUUUGUAUUUUUUCUGAAAAUAUCAAAAUAAUAUUUUUGAAGUUGAUGAAAACUUGUUAAAGUUUCUAAAAUAAAACUUUCUGAAAAUAUCGAGUAAACUGUAAGUUUUUUGAGUAAAUUUUUUUGAGUUAAUUAAAAGUUGAAAAUAACAAAAUAAAUUUGUAUCUAUGUAAAAAACAAAAUAAAUAUAUUUUUUUAUUUAUUUGUGUUUUUUUUUAAAUAUCAAAAUGAUAUUCUUCAAGUUGAUGAAAACUUGUUAAAAUAUAACUUUAAUUAAAAAAUAACUACUUAUUUUUUGACUUUCUGAAAAAUAUCGAGUAACCUGUAAGUUUUUUUAAUACAUUUUUUUCCAGUUAAUUAAAGAAUGAAAUUUAUUUAUUUGUUUGUUUAUUUUUUUCUGAAAAUAUCAAAAUAAUAUUUUUCAAGUUGAUGAAAACUACUAAAGACCGACACUGAUGGAUGUUCAAAGGUGUCACUUUUGAUUUAGUGUUUUAUUUCUUUGUAUUGUGUUGUGUUUUGUUGUGUUGUGUCCUUUUGUCUGAUCAGUUUGCUCUUUGUUUGUUGUCUCAUAGGUGGGGAUGAGUCGCUUGUUGUGUGAUUCCUUUUAUCAGAUUUGAAUUAGUGACUCAAACCCACACCUGCUCCAUUAUAGUUCCUCAUUAGACCCCCCCCUUCCGUUUUUCUCUCGUCUCUUCUUUUGGUUCUAUGACUUCCUGUCCUCCUGUCCUCUUCCUUGUGUGCCUGCCGUGUCCUGCGGUGACCUUAGUAAAAGACAAAAAUCUAUAGGUGAAAUGACCAAAUGUUGCGCUGUUAUUCCCCCCUCCCGCCCCGGCUCAGCACGCUCCUUUGAGCUGACCCGCUGGCCCCCCAGGUACUGACCCGCUCAUUUGACACCUCAAGAUGGCUACGCCUUUUCCCAAGACGAGAACGGCGUGGUGUCCCAGUCGGAGGUGAUCCGAGCGUACGACACCACCAAGCAGAGGAGCAGAGAGUGGUGAGCGCCCACCAAUCAAUCCGAAGCCACAAGUUCCACCUUUCUGGUGGUGUUUUUUUUCCUUUUUUUUUUGUAUUUUUGGAAGGAGGAUGACAUUUUUGGACUCUUAAUACGACCACAGACAGACAAGAAUGGAAUGACGUAUUCUUGGUGAAAGGGAACGCUUGUGUGAUGAGCAUGGUGCUUUCUUCGUCCUCACUCAUCCCCCAAAUUGAGCGAAGAGUUAUUAACUAUUAUUAGCAUUAAACCAAACCCACUAAAAACCAUUGCGGACAAUUUAAAUACAAACCACGGGGGUGUAACGGUACACCAUAAUCACAGUUUGGCACGUACCUCGGUUUUAGGUCUUAUUUUUAUUAUAGUAAGUUAGUAAUAAUACUUGUAUUACAGUACAUAAAACCGCUUAGCUAUAAAAAAAAUGUAAAAAUGAAACGGAUUUAAGGAAAAGUAAAGUACUUUGUUUAUGUGUUUCACCGGGAAUGCCAAGUGUUCAUGAAUCAGUUCCAGAAGGCGCGACUCAAACCGAAACAUACUCUAACCAAAUCAGUUUUUCCCACAAGAAAUGACGUAAAUCCAAUUGAUUCUUUCCGGAAAGCCAAAAAUGUUAACACAAAACACAUUUUUUUUAAAUAGUUUUGCUAUUGUAGUUUUAUUGUAGUUGUGGCGGAACCGUGUUAGUUAGCAAAGAACUACAGAGUCACCAGUUAAUGACUUCACUUCUGGUUCUGGUCUCCAUUUUGUUAGAAAGCAAAAAGGCUGCUAAUAAAAACAUUUUGUGAUAAAAAUACAUUAAGAACACAGUUGGACUCGCGGAGUGCAUCAACGACGUGGCAAGACGUGCGCCAUAUUGUUUGCUACAUCAUGGCGUAGCUUUUCGACUUAAACCGAAAAACAUGCUAACCAGGGCAUAUGCUAACCAAGGUUCCUCUGUACUGUAUUUGUUUACAGAGUAGACCAGUGACUAUAUCAUGAAGUAUCAUGUAUCAUCAGUUUGACUUCCUGUCCUUGACCUACUUUUGACCGAUGAGGGAACUCUGUAUGAUGUGUCCGAUGACCAAAUGUACCGUUGCACCCCGACUAAACACUGUUUCAUGUGACGAUUCAACCCCAAAUCAAAAGGUGGCGUCAGAUUGCCAAAGAGCAGUCGUGUGUACAAUCUCGUGAAGUACUCGUGAAUUCGGAAAAAACUUGACCACCCACUCUCCUUGUUAGCAGACUUUUAAGUUACUUGAUUUGAUUUUUUGCACUAAAGGAAGCGCGUCAUGUGUAAAAGCCUUACAUUUGCAUCAUGCCUUCAUCCUCGCUUCGACAAAACACACAUUCUUGUUCCUUUUUCAAGUAAUGUAAUAGAUACUGUGCCUGGUUUUAGUCUGGAUUUGUUUUGGUCCGGUUUCCAGCUUUUGAUGGAUGAUAGCAUUCCACACAUCCCUCCUGACUCCACACUCACAAAGGUGCCUACGUUUCCAUCCCAGAGGAAAACAAGCUAGCGUAGGAUGCACACGUACACUAAAAAAAAACACAAAAAAAAAGACAAAAAACAAGAUUUCAGACCGUAGUGGUUGUGUUUCCCUAACAGUGGAGAUUGGAACCCUUCCAACAUAAGUGCCAUUAGCUUACGAGAGAAAAAAAUACCCAGGAAACUCCAGUACGCCAGUAUCGACGACAACCUAUAGUUAUUAUUUUGUGGAUUUGUAUUUUUAUAUUUGGAGAUGUACACACAUUUUUGCAUUUGACUGGCUUUGUAACCUUUAACCCCGACCCACCGCGCCCCUUCCCCCAGGACACGGCGCUUUCUUAAACAUCUCUCAAUGGUUAAUAUUGUUACUGCUUGGUUUAUUUCUAAUUAUUGUACUUAAUACUUCAUGUCUGUGCGAUGGCUUUCUUCUCCCUAUGGGAGAUACGACUUCUGACUGUGUGUGUGUGUGUGUGUGUGUGUGUGUGUGUGUGUGUGUGUGCAUGUGCAUGUGAUGUGUGUUUCUGUGUGUGUCACUUCUACUAUGUUAACUUUUAUUGUAUGUACGCAUUGCAUGUCUGUCUUCUACUAAGCGACAUUAGGGCAACACAGCAAAGAAAAUAAAUAGUAAAAUAACCAGGAAAAUGAAGUGAAAUCUUUCAGGAAUCCAAUUGUUGAAAUUAAGGAAAACGUCUGUAAUAUUAAAGGAAUAAAGUCGUAAUCUUACAGAAAAAAAAGUAGGGAGAAGAGUGAUACUAUUACAGGAAAAAUGUUAAAAAUGAAAAAAAUAAAGUUGUAAUAUUACGAGAAAAAAAAAUAGUUUUUCGGUAAUAACCUCGUAAUAUAAAUAGAAAAUGUUCAUGAUGUAUAAAAUAUAAUAUAAAGUUGUAUUGUCACAGCAAUAAAGUUGUGAUAUUAUUAGGAGAGAAAACUGCUAAAGUUACAGUAAAGUCGCAAUGUUAGAAGAAUAUAGUUGUAAUGUUACUGUCACGAGUUGCAAUGUUAAAGUAAAAAAAAAAAGUAAAAAUAUUACAAUCGAAAGUUUGUAAUUCAAUUUGUAAUAUCAGCAGAAUAAAGUUUGAAGAAAAAAAAGUUGUACUUUUUACUUUAAACAACUUCAUUCCAACAAAAACCAGAACAUACAAAAAUCAUGCAAUUUUUUUUCCUAUAUAAAAUAAUGUAAAUCCUAUUACACACUCAAAAAUAUUUAAAAAGUAUUUAUUUUAUAUCAUAUAUACAGUAUAUAAAAAUGACAAAUGGAUGGAAUCAAAUUAUUGUCACCUGCAAUGUUUUUCCCUUUUUGUUUGUUACGUGCAAUAUUGUAUGAAAACUGAGACAAAAAUUUGUCAAAAAUGUUUGAUGAAAACUUAGGCAUACAAAAGCUGCAUAAAAAAUCUUUACUGUAGUACAUUCAUAUUUUUGUAAAAUUACGACUUUUUAAAUUCCCACAUCAUUUGGUUAAAAUUAGCACUCAUUUUUCAGAAUAUUCUACCUUUAUUUUGUGAUAUUUAUUCUAUUUAUUUAUUGUCAUAUUUAGAACUUUUUUGUCAAUUUUUGUAUUUACGUAUUUAUUUGUUCUUUUCAGUGUAGCCCUAACAAUCCUUGGUAGUCCGUAUACGAGACUGGAAGUUGUUGACGUAUUAUCUCCUGGUGUGUGUUUUGUUUUUAAAUGUACGAAUGUGUGCGCGCGUGUGUGUGUUUUGAUGCUUGCUCAUACUGGUCCAUGUGCACAAGCCCAGGUCUAGCUAUGGUGUCCUCCUGUGUGCAGAUGCAUGUUCCGCGUGGGCUCGUCGGAGCGUUUUUGGUAAAUGUUGGACUUUACGAUGCUCAGUUGGGGAGCCGCCGCUCCCAAGGUAGCUUAUUUUCCGUCGCUGCUCUUACUGUCCGAUUUUUGGGUUUGAUGGCGUUUGUAACAGGACAGCUCCAACUGCUUUGAAGUUGUCAACUGUUGCUGAAUGUGGACGUUGUUGUCGUCUUUGUUUAGGUUUUUUUUUCUUUUUCCGAACUCUAAGUUGUGCGCUGCAUGAGUGGAUAACACAAACUUGUACCACUUCACUUUACAAAACAGACAAAAAAAAUUGAUUUAACGUUUCUUUCUGCUCAUGUUUUCGGCUUUCAUGAUUGUUCUGCAUGUCGGGACUGCAAAUGUAUAAGUGUUGUCUUUUAUUGUCCGCAGAGGACGACUGAAAUAAACUUUACAUUCAUGGAGGAAACCAAAUGUCCGACUUCUUCCGUCUUUGCCGUUUACGUGAACGUAGGCGCGAUGGUGACGUGCUGGUUAUUCGCAACUAAACAGGAAAGGGCGGAGACAUCAGAUGCCGAGGGACAGCUUCUAAAUAUUUACGCUAGACUGGUAAACAACAAAGUCAUUAAAAAGUUCAUGAAAUAAGUUGACAUUUUUCUGGUUUGUUUUUCCACUUCCUUUUAGGUUUAAUGGUGGAUGUCCCAAUAGUUUUGGGAACAUUUGUGAGCCAUCAUUUGCUUUUUGAGUGAUUCCUCACACAAAAAGAUGCAAGUCAAGAUAUUCAGUAAAGGUCGUGAGAAAGUGUAUUUUGCAAGAAAAGCAGAAGAUGAUAGAAAGUGACAAGAACAGACAAGAGCUGACAGGCGGAAUGUGACAAAUCCUGACAAUCAACGUUGCUACGGCGGCGAUGCGUCAAGGGAAGACGGUCCAGUGUUGAUUCCGGGUUCAGUUUCACAGUCGGGUAAGCAGCGGCGCCGCACACACAGGAGAAGUCCUUUAUUUUUUUUUUUAACCAGUCGCUACCUGUUGAUGCAACCUAAGCCUCCACCGACAGGCCCGUUGAGCACUGACAAUGACGGAUCUCAGCGCCGCAUUCCUGCUGUGAAGUCUGCUGAGAGCUGGCAGCCUCCGCUUCGGUCCACUGAGACACCAAACACAUCUUUCAGAUUGUCAAAAAUAGAAAUCCCUGGUUCCGGAAUGUCUUUCUGUACAUAAUAUACAAAAGUGCAUGUCCUCUCAAGGUCGUCCAAUCAGCUCCCGAGACUAAUUGUCCUCUCCGUCCCCGUCCCGUCCAACUGUCAACUUUGCC